AUGGAAACCAUUGCACUCCUUCCUCACCAGGGCUCUCAUCUCUCCGUGUCCAGAUACUGCGGGCAUCAAGGACGAAGUGGAGGCCCAGGCAGAAGACAAAGACAGCAGCACAGCACCUCACCACCGCCACCACCUGGUUCCCAUGGGAUGGCCCCUUGGCACCUGUGGGGUCAGUGUGUUUGGGUGUCCUCAUCACCGAGCUGGGAUGCAGUGACAGUGCCACGCACGGAGAGAAGAGAUGGAACUUGGCUCCAUGGGAAAAGCUCAGAUCCACCCACUGUGCCCAGUGCCCUCACCUGUCACCACCAGUUCCACGGGGUCACUCAUAUUCGACGUCCACAGUGGCUCUGACACCUGGUACCGACACUGAUAUGUCCCCACGUCUUCCAGGUUUGUGACAACCAAGGAGAACUCAACUGUAUCCUACUCCUCAUCUUUUUCCUUGUCAGAUCUCAAAGUUCCAUUAAACCAGAGCUGGACCCAGGCAGCUGUGUGGGGCAGGUGGCACUGCAGGGUGACAGUGUCCCCCACAGCCACCCCCUGGCUGGGGUGCAGUGACAGGGAGGGUCGGGGCACUAGGACAGGGGACACCAGUCAGCCUUGUCCCUGCACACCCUCCUGGACCCCUCUGAUGGCCCCCUCCCCAAGCUCCCCUCCCUCUGUCCCCAUUCUCUCCCUGUCCCCAUACUCACACUGCUGAGCACUGCUGGCUGCCAACAGACACCAACCUGAAAGGGACAUAGUCCUGGUCUCACACAGGGCCAACAACCCCCGUGGCACCAUGUCCCCAUUGUCACUCACCCAGGAUGAGGGCCAGCACCAUUGUUUGCAUGAGGCAGGAUCAGCUUGGGGACAGUGAGACUGCAGUGCGGACAGGGAGUGGCCGGAGAGCUGCUUUCAGUUUCCCUUUUGGACAGGAUCCUGUGAUCCUGUGAUGUCAGCACCUCAUGUGUCCCCCAAGGGGUGGGAAGGAUGCAGUGGGUUCCUCUGUUUGGUGCCACACAUCGAUCUGUGCACACAGCCUCUAUUGAGGUGACCCACACAGGCAAUCACCCGUCGAGUGUCACACCCUCUCCCCAAAGCUCUAUUAGUGUGUGUCCGUGCACCAUUAUCUCCAUGGGAUAAUGAUGAUCUCCACGAAAACAAAGGAAAUAUCUAUUUUUCAAUAGGAAUCUAACUAUUUUCCCACCAAG
rnacentral:lncRNA from 1 species